AGAGUUUGAUCCUGGCUCAGGAUGAACGCUGGCGGCAUGCCUAAUACAUGCAAGUCGAACGAGAGGAAGGAAAGCUUGCUUUUCUGAAUCUAGUGGCGAACGGGUGAGUAACACGUAGGUAACCUGCCCAUGUGUCCGGGAUAACUUCUGGAAACGGAUGCUAAAACCGGAUAGGUAGCAGACAAGCAUUUGACUGCUAUUAAAGUGGCUUUGGCCAUGAACAUGGAUGGACCUGCGGUGCAUUAGCUGGUUGGUGAGGUAACGGCCCACCAAGGCGACGAUGCAUAGCCGGCCUGAGAGGGCGGACGGCCACAUUGGGACUGAGACACGGCCCAAACUCCUACGGGAGGCAGCAGUAGGGAAUUUUCGUCAAUGGGGGGAACCCUGAACGAGCAAUGCCGCGUGAGUGAGGAAGGUCUUCGGAUCGUAAAGCUCUGUUGUAAGAGAAAAACGGCACUCAUAGGGAAUGAUGAGUGAGUGAUGGUAUCUUACCAGAAAGUCACGGCUAACUACGUGCCAGCAGCCGCGGUAAUACGUAGGUGGCGAGCGUUAUCCGGAAUGAUUGGGCGUAAAGGGUGCGUAGGUGGCAGAUCAAGUCUGGAGUAAAAGGUAUGGGCUCAACCCGUACUGGCUCUGGAAACUGAUCAGCUAGAGAACAGAAGAGGACGGCGGAACUCCAUGUGUAGCGGUAAAAUGCGUAGAUAUAUGGAAGAACACCGGUGGCGAAGGCGGCCGUCUGGUCUGGAUUCUGACACUGAAGCACGAAAGCGUGGGGAGCAAAAAGGAUUAGAUACCCUAGUAGUCCACGCCGUAAA
rnacentral:rRNA from 1 species